rnacentral:lncRNA from 1 species
AAGGGAGUACCUUAUUUUAAUUAAAUAGGGUUACUUGAUAUUUUUAUAAGAUGAGUCUUAUAUCAGAUAUCAAAUAUACGUGAUUCCAAUAGUUGGAGAGUACGCCCCCUUUUUCUAUAGAGAUAGGAAAAACUAGGGUUUUAGCUAAUACACCAUUCUUCUUGAAAAUUCUUUUUCGUUGGUAGAUCACCUCUAGAGGCUACACUUAGGUGGCUAACAUUGAUCAAAGGAAAGGAAUUGAACCCAGAGAUUCAAGGAGAUCGCGGAGAAGUAGGAGUUAAAUUCGUACAUGUGGAAGCUCGUAUAUACAAAGGUAUGAUUCCAUAACUUCUUGUUAUUCGUUUUAAUUAAUAAU